rnacentral:lncRNA from 1 species
GUCAGUUGUCACGUGGACUGGCCAGCUCUGUCCUGUCGGUGGCUUUGUGUCCGUGUCAGACGCCCACUGCCGAUAUAAGCCGGCUGUAGAACCAGCCGUAUCACAGUGAGCUAUCGGUAUCCACACAAGUAGCUGAGAUGCGUGCACUGCUGUUGGCAUCUGCCGUUCUGUUGGCUAUAGCCGUCUGGCUUCAAGCAGGUACGGCUACCCCAACCACAAGACCACCUUUUGUGUGCCUGGCUGUCGGAUGCAUCUGCGAGGGCUGCCCCCAUGGCUACAAGUGCUCCAGUUGCAACACGUUCGAGGACACCCCCGCCCCCGGACUGCCGGCGCCAAUCACCAAGCCAUGCUGCAUUCCAGACCUUGACUACGACAGAUACCCGCCGCUGAUUAGGGAGCUAUUCUGCAACAUCAGUCUUCCAACAUGUAGGCCUAUCAAUGAAUGAACAUGGCCACUGCAUUGUAACUGACAGUGAAGCAAAUCCGAGCAUACAUACAUUGCGGUUUGUACCUAUAGAUGUUGACAUACUGAAAAACAAAAAUGGCUAACAGCUACGCUGGUUUCGCAUAGUGCUAGAGCUACCGUCGAUAUACAUAGGUCGUUAAAUAAAAUCAUCUCGUCUUCUGAUUUUCGAGGGCUUGCCGUUAUUUAUGCAAAUACAUAUACACUGGUGACGUU